rnacentral:rRNA from 1 species
GACGAACGCUGGCAGCGUGCCUAAUACAUGCAAGUCGAGCGGACCACUUCGGUGGUCAGCGGCGGACGGGUGAGUAACACGUGGGCAACCUGCCUGUAAGACUGGGAUAACACCGGGAAACCGGUGCUAAUACCGGAUAAUCCUUUCCUUCACAUGAGGGAAAGCUGAAAGACGGUUUCGGCUGUCACUUACAGAUGGGCCCGCGGCGCAUUAGCUGGUUGGUGAGGUAACGGCUCACCAAGGCAACGAUGCGUAGCCGACCUGAGAGGGUGAUCGGCCACACUGGGACUGAGACACGGCCCAGACUCCUACGGGAGGCAGCAGUAGGGAAUCUUCCGCAAGGGACGAAAGUCUGAGGGAGAAACGCCGCGUGAGCGAUGAAGGCCUUCGGGUCGUAAAGCUCUGUUGUCAGGGAAGAACAAGUACCGGAGUAACUGCCGGUACCUUGACGGUACCUGACCAGAAAGCCACGGCUAACUACGUGCCAGCCGCCGCGGUAAUAC